AAGUCGUAACAAGGUUUUGCUAAGCAACAGUCCUUCUGUAGCAGAGCUUAACGGAGACCUUGCACCCCGAGAGGGGGGGAGGCGACUAUAAAAGAACUCCCAGCGCAAGUCAGCCUAGCUGGCAACACAAUCGAAUUGCGGGGACGCUUUAAAGCCCACCGGUACCAACUGCUCCUCUGGGGCGGGGCCAGCUAUGCUGGAGGUCACAACCCGGUAGGAUACUACAAUAAGCAAUCCGCAGCGGCUCAGCCGUCCACAGACUAAGUGGUUGUGGGUAGGGAUCCCCUACUUAAGAUAUAGUCGGGCCUUGUGACAAGUCAUAGGGGCUUCUGCGUCCGUAGGUGAACCUGCGGAAGGAUCAUUAACCAUUGGAUACCUUCGGGGUAUAUCCCAUCCGUGUCUGCAUACUCUUGUUGCUUUGGCAGGCCGUGGUCACCCACUGUGGGCUAUGCCUUGCAUGUGCCUGCCAGAGGACCCAAACUCUGAAUUUUUAGUGGAUGUCUGAGGUACCUAUAUAAUAGUUCAAAAC
rnacentral:misc_RNA from 1 species